rnacentral:lncRNA from 1 species
CUUUGGUAGCCUCCUUACUUGCUCCACUUGCUUCAGAGAGAGAAGUGCGGGUUUGCGGUUUAGUGAAGGAGCAAGGCUCAUGUGAAUAGAAGAAUCCAAGGUAGAGCAGGAAGAGAAAUCCAGCUAGAGAAAGAGGUGGAAGUCAAAAUAAGUAGACUCUUAUUUUAAAUUUUUAAUGGCUUCUUGGUGGCUUCAAGAUAAAAGAUAGACAAUGAGGAGCUUUGUGUUUGGGAAAAGAAUAAAAGUCAACUGUAGCAAAACCUCUCAGAAGUAGGAUUUAUAAACAGUUCUCAAAGGAUGCACAUGAAAAUGUAAUUUCUUGGGAAAGUGGCAAACAGAAAAGAAUCAAACCGCAGUUGUGUGUGGCAAGGAUAAAUAUGCAACGCACCAUCAAUAGGAUUUGUUGGGUGAAUAAAAAAGCCUUUUAGCCAACAAUAUGUAAGCAGAAGAAUGGAGCAGGAGUUAGAGAGAACCCUCAAGCAAUAAUGGAGGCCACUGGAGAGGCAAGACUGCCAAAGGCUAAGUUAUUGACCCAGUAUUUUUAAAACUGCCUCCGAAAAGAAGCCUGAACGAAAGAAAAUAAUUUGUGCUAUUAGAAUGUAUUUUUCCUUUGUGUUCCUAUCUACUUCCUUCACAAGCUAUUUUUGGAUGACAGGAUGGAGUCUCCAGCUGUGAAAGUGUUGCUGCAGACAGCCCUCAGCUUCCAGUUCUUGUAAAAAUGGCCUCAGCUUCAGAGAGCUCCAUUACCCAAGCUCAUUCAUUUCCUGGGGUGUUCUGCAUCCAGUGAGUGUUCUGUGGACUUGCCAGUUCAAUUCUCAUUCUAAGAUGCUGUUGUCCACCUACACCAAGCAGGUGAG